rnacentral:rRNA from 1 species
UGGGGAAUAUUGGACAAUGGGGGGAACCCUGAUCCAGCGAUGCCGCGUGUGUGAAGAAGGCCUGAGGGUUGUAAAGCACUUUUAGUGGGGAGGAGUGUUCAUAGGUUAAGAGCUAAUGAGCUGGACGUUACUCACAGAAAAAGCACCGGCUAACUCCGUGCCAGCAGCCGCGGUAAUACGGAGGGUGCGAGCGUUAAUCGGAAUGACUGGGCGUAAAGGGUGCGUAGGUGGUUGAAUAAGUUAUAGGUGAAAUCAUAGGGCUCAACCUUGUGUGGAAUUAUAAUACUGUUUAACUAGAGUAUAGGAGAGGGAAGUGGAAUUUCCGGUGUAGCGGUGAAAUGCGUAGAGAUCGGAAGGAACACCAGUUGCGAAGGCGGCUUCCUGGCCAUAUACUGACACU